rnacentral:rRNA from 1 species
UACAGAGGUCUCAAGCGUUGUUCGGAUUCAUUGGGCGUAAAGGGUGCGUAGGCGGCGCGGUAAGUCGGGUGUGAAAUCUCGGGGCUUAACUCCGAAACUGCAUUCGAUACUGCCGUGCUUGAGGACUGGAGAGGAGACUGGAAUUUACGGUGUAGCGGUGAAAUGCGUAGAUAUCGUAAGGAAGACCAGUGGCGAAGGCGGGUCUCUGGACAGUUCCUGACACUGAGGCACGAAAGCCAGGGGAGCAAACGGG